rnacentral:pre_miRNA from 1 species
ACAUGUUCUCUCUCUACAUGUUUCUCUCUCUACAUGUUUUCUCUCUCUACAUGUUUUCUCUCUCUACAUGUUAGCUCUCUCUACAUGUUAGCUCUCUCUAGAGAGAGAACAUGUAGAGAGAGAAACAUGUAGAGAGAGAAACAUGU